GUGCUCGCUUUGGCAGCCCAUAUGCUAAAAUUGGAACAAUACAGAGAAGAUUAGCCUGGCCCCAUACAAUUCGUGCAAAUUCGUGAAGCUUCCAUAUAUUU
ensembl:snRNA U6 U6 spliceosomal RNA